rnacentral:rRNA from 1 species
UGCAUAUCAAUAAGCGGAGGAAAAGAAAAUAACAAUGAUUCCCCUAGUAACGGCGAGUGAAGAGGGACAAGCUCAAAUUUUAAAUCUGUUAGGUUAUACCUAUCAGAGUUGUAUUUUGAAGAAGCGUUUUCCGCGUCUCGGUUGACCCAAAUCCUUUGGGAUAAGGUAUCAUGGUGGGUGAGAAUCCCGUUCGGUUGACCUUAUGACGCUCUACGAUACGCUUUCAAAGAGUCGAGUUGUUUGGGAUUGCAGCUCAAAAUGGGAGGUAAAUUUCUCCUAAGGCUAAAUAUCGGCGAGAGACCGAUAGCGAACAAGUACCGUGAGGGAAAGAUGAAAAGAACUUUGAAAAGAGAGUUAAAUAGUACGUGAAAUUGUUGAAAGGGAAACGAUUGAAGUCAGUCGUACCGACGAGAAAUCAGCUCCUUGUGCGCUUUCUUGUGGGCGUGCGUGAGUUUUAACGCCUCGCCGUUUGCAAUGUUUGUGCAUUUUUGGGUGUAUUUUUCCGUAUGGUAGGCCAAUGUCAGUUUCGAUUAUCAUAAAAUGGUCGGAGGAAUGUAGCUUUGACUUCGGUCGAAGUGUUAUAGCCUCUGGUAGAUGUGAUGAACGAGACUGAGGAUUGCAACGAAUACCCUUCGGGCUAUCCGUCUGACCUCUGAAAGUCGCUUAGGUGCCGAAAGCUUGCUUACGGUUAUUUAAGUUGGCGGUCAAAAGGUUAGAACGUGAUUACAUUCGUUAAGGAUGUUGACGUA